rnacentral:rRNA from 1 species
UUUCGCAAUGCCCGAAAGGGUGACGAAGCGACGCCGCGUGUGGGAAGAAGGCCUUCGGGUUGUAAACCACUGUCGGGAGUUAAGAAAUGCAAGGAUAUGAAUAGUGUCUUUGCUUGACUAAGGCUCCGGAGGAAGCCACGGCUAACUCUGUGCCAGCAGCCGCGGUAAUACAGAGGCGGCAAGCGUUGUUCGGAAUUAUUGGGCGUAAAGAGCACGUAGGCGGCUAUGUAAGUCGGUUGUGAAAGCCUUCCGCUCAACGGGAGAACAGCAUCCGAUACUGCAUGGCUUGAGUGCGGGAGGGGAGAGUGGAACUUCUGGUGGAGCGGUGAAAUGCGUAGAUAUCAGAAGGAACGCCGGCGGCGAAAGCGGCUCUCUGGCCCAUAACUGACGCUGAGUGUGCGAAAGCUAGGGGAGCAAACGGGAUUAGAUACCCCGGUAGUCCUAGCCGUAAACGAUGGGCACUAAGUAGAGGGGGUU